ACUUGUCACAUCACUAGUGUUUGGUGGCGGUGUUUGGUGUUGGCUGAAAUGGAGAUUUUUACAUAAAGUUAUUUUAAUGCCAAUCGCUUGUUUAUUUCACAAGAAAUACGUGUUUUUGAUUUAGUAAUUAAUUUAAAACACAGGUACCAACUGUGUGUGGAAUUUCCAUAUUUUGCAUUAAUUUAGAUUGUAGUUUUUAGGUUACUUCUAUCUACAUCGGUCAGAAUGGCAGAGUAUUUAGCGGCUAUAUUUGGUACCGAAAAAGACAAAGUAAAUUGUUCUUUUUACUUCAAGAUAGGAGCAUGUCGUCACGGAGACCGUUGCUCUCGAAUUCACAAUAAGCCUACCUUUUCACAAACUGUCUUACUACAAAAUUUGUAUGUGAACCCCCAAAAUUCUGCUAAAUCUGCAGAUGGAAGUCACUUGGUGGUUGCCAAUGUGUCUGAUGAAGAGAUGCAGGAGCAUUACGACAAUUUCUUUGAAGAUGUUUUUGUCGAAUGUGAAGACAAGUAUGGAGAGAUUGAAGAAAUGAAUGUGUGUGAUAAUCUCGGAGACCAUUUAGUAGGCAAUGUUUACAUUAAAUUCCGUCGCGAGGAGGACGCCGAGAAGGCGGUCAACGACCUGAACAACCGCUGGUUCGGCGGGCGGCCGGUUUACGCCGAGCUGUCGCCCGUCACGGACUUCCGUGAGGCCUGCUGCCGCCAGUACGAGAUGGGCGAGUGUACUAGGAGUGGGUUCUGCAACUUCAUGCAUCUGAAGCCUAUUUCCAGAGAGUUGAGGAGAUACUUGUACUCCCGCCGCAAGGGCGGGCGCCGUUCGCGCAGCCGCUCGCGCGAGCGCCGCCGCCGCUCGCGGUCACGUGGGCGCCGCGAGCCGCCGCGCAACUCGCGCUCGGGCCGCUACUGACCGCCCAGCGCGCCCCUACCCUGAAUACGGACUUCACGUAUACCUGCCUGAACUGUACGUUAAACUAAAAAGUCAGCACUGGAUUAUUUUAAAUUUAAACAGAUGUGUUCAAAUAUUAUCACAAAAUUGCAGUUGAACAUUAGAUAUUUUUAGGGUGAUUUUUUAUAGUCGGCGUAAAUUCAAUCGGAUGGUGUCUUGAACUGUUUUAAUGCGUCUGACACCCGUCUGAUGAUAAUUGGGCGAUUUGAGUCGCGCGUUCUGCCCGAAUGAAUAUAGAACCAUAAUAACAUUAGAGUCCGAUAAGUAAAUGACUUAGAUGCCUUAUAAUAUCAGUAGUAAUAUAAUAAUAUAAUGACUUCCCGUGAUAUAAUUGAUGUCAUCUAAUUUCUGAAUGCAAAAUCUUCUCUGUGUAUUAUCAACUUCUAUUCAAACUAUGUCCAAUGUCUUGUUGAAGAUAGAAGACGACUUUUCUGUCUCGAACACAUGAAAACUAUAAUAUUUUAUUGGACGGGUUGCUUCAAAAGAUUUACAGGUGCCUCAACUGCAAAACAGACCCAGACGAUUGUAUAAUUUACAGUACAUGCACUGAAAAAUCGGAAGCAAUUUUAGUUGUUGGUCGUGUUUCUAGAGUCACAAAGUCAAUAUAUUUUACAGUGCCACAUCUUUUCUUCUUUUCUAUUAUGAACAAAAAUGAAAAUAUUGCUCAUUUUAAAGCAAAUUUGCAAAAUUGUAAAAUACCUACAUAAUUUAACUUUGUUGUGUAAAUGAUAAGAUUUAUUCAUCAGCCAUAUUUGGUCUUGAGUCUGCAAUCCAAUAAAUAUUUGGUUUAAUAUUACAUAUUUUUAAAAUCAAUUUAGCUAAAUACUGUAAUUCCUCUAAAAUUUAUCUAAAACAGAGAUUUGUUGGUGUUUUUUAUAGUUUCAUAGUAUUAUUUGUACUUUCCAAUGCAGUACACCAUCUUGUUGCUAAAAUCGAAAUGUACUAUUGUAUGUUGUACGCAGAUUUAGGGCAGAGUAUCUUUAUUGAAUGUUUUGAUUGAUGUGAAUGUUCGUAUAUACUGCAAUAACGCAUAUUUAUUAGAAAAUAUACAAUAGUGUUCAUAACACUAUAUUAUUUUCUUAGUUAUGUCUCAUUUAAAAAUAAUGUAAGGUUUUAAUAUACGGUAUGUCGUCUAGAUGAAUUGGUGCGAUAUUGCAGUAUUUGUAAGGGAUGACUAUUAUUU